rnacentral:rRNA from 1 species
UACGAAGGGGGCUAGCGUUGUUCGGAAUUACUGGGCGUAAAGCGCACGUAGGCGGUGUUCCAUGUCAGAGGUGAAAGCCUGGGGCUCAACUCCAGAAUUGCCUUUGAAACGGGGACGCUUGAGUCCGAGAGAGGAUGGCGGAAUUCCUAGUGUAGAGGUGAAAUUCGUAGAUAUUAGGAAGAACACCAGUGGCGAAGGCGGCCAUCUGGCUCGGUACUGACGCUCAGGUUCGAAAGCGUGGGGAGCAAACAGG